UGACCGCUGUUUUCUCAUGCUGUCUCUAAGGGACUGAUGCGGCUAAUGGUCUUGCUGUUGGAUAUUCAUUGUUGUUUGAUGAAUGUCACCAUGUGAAUGUGACAACUUCCUAGUGAUAGAUUGUGAAUGUGGCAGUGUAAAGAAUGCAACUAGCUAGACGGUAUUUGUUGCUGCAGCAUUUUAGACAGUGUGUUUUAGGGGCAGUU